rnacentral:rRNA from 1 species
CUAACAUCUAUGCGAGUGUUUAGGUGUUAAGCCUAGACGCGUAAUAAAAGUGAACAGAGGUAGGAACCCUUUUAGGGUGCACUAUUAACUAAUCCUAAUAUCUUUAGAAGGAUUUAAGUAAGAGCAUAGCUAUUAG